UACAGAGGGGGCAAGCGUUGUUCGGAAUUACUGGGCGUAAAGGGCGCGUAGGCGGCCUGUUAAGUCGAACGUGAAAUCCCCGGGCUCAACCCGGGAACUGCGUCCGAAACUGGCAGGCUUGAAUCCGGGAGAGGGAUGUGGAAUUCCAGGUGUAGCGGUGAAAUGCGUAGAUAUCUGGAGGAACAUCGGUGGCGAAGGCGACUGCCUGGACCAGCACUGACACUGAGGCACGAAAGCGUGGGGAGCAAACAGG
rnacentral:rRNA from 1 species